AGAGAGCAAGGCGCAGUUUUUCAUUGAUCACCACCUUCAAGAUGCUCCCAGAAUCGUGCUGUCUAGGAAGCCAUUUAAACUGGUGAGAAGCCAUCCUCUCUUGAAUGGGGGCUCCCACUGUACAUCUGGCACCCACUUCACAGAUUCUGGGGGAAGUCGACACCAGCACUGCCGAGCUGUGUGACCUUGAGCAAGACAGUUAGCCUCUCUGAACCUCAGUGUCCUUCUCUGUAGGCUGGAGAUUGAUAUACCUUCAUUAUCGGGGUAUGAGAGUGUUAUAAGGGGGGAUGGUGGAACACGCUGACUGGUCUGGGCUAUUCAAGAUCCAUGAACUGGAAGAUGCUUUCUUAUAACUCAGAGAAAAGAGAUGAAAAUGAAUCAAAGAACAGGAAGGAGACAAGCUCAGGAGGGAGAGGUAAAGGGGACCCUUACACCAAAACACAGGCAAGAAAACAAACAAACAAACAAACAAACAAACAGAACGUAUUUCCUGAAAAAGGCUAUGUCUUUCUGUUUGAAUGAUAAUGCAUAGGACUGACUGAACUCCUCAUUUUGAGUCACCCUAAGAAGGACGUGUGGAAG
rnacentral:lncRNA from 1 species